rnacentral:rRNA from 1 species
UACAGAGGGUGCGAGCGUUGUCCGGAAUCACUGGGCGUAAAGGGCGCGUAGGCGGCUUGAUAAGGUUGCGGUGAAAGCCCGGGGCUCAACCCCCGGGUCGGCCGUGGCAACUGUCGAGCUGGAGCACUGUAGAGGCAGGUGGAAUUCCGGGUGUAGCGGUGGAAUGCGUAGAGAUCCGGAAGAACACCGGUGGCGAAGGCGGCCUGCUGGGCAGUGGCUGACGCUGAGGCGCGACAGCGUGGGGAGCAAACAGG